AGGUCAUUUCAAAGGGGUCCUGUGGGGCUGUGAAACAGGAUCCCUUAACACUGUGACUAAAAAGUGGAGUUUGCACAGGACUCCAUGGUCACUCUGAGUGUAACACCCUCCUGGGAAGCAGUGAGAUA
ensembl:snoRNA